rnacentral:rRNA from 1 species
CCUACGGGUGGCAGCAGUGGGGAAUAUUGGGCAAUGGGCGCAAGCCUGACCCAGCAACGCCGCGUGAAGGAAGAAGGCUUUCGGGUUGGAAACUUCUUUUCUCAGGGACGAAGCAAGUGACGGUACCUGAGGAAUAAGCCACGGCUAACUACGUGCCAGCAGCCGCGGUAAUACGUAGGUGGCAAGCGUUAUCCGGAUUUACUGGGUGUAAAGGGCGAGUAGGCGGGAAAGCAAGUCAGAUGUGAAAACCAUGGGCUCAACCUGUGGCCUGCAUUUGAAACUGUUUUUCUUGAGUACUGGAGAGGCAGACGGAAUUCCUGGUGUAGCGGUGAAAUGCGUAGAUAUUAGGCAGAACCCCAGUGGCGAAGGCGGUCUGCUGGGC